rnacentral:tRNA from 1 species
GCCUGGGUGGCUCAAGUGGUUAAGCGUCUGACUUUGGCUCAGGUCAUGAUUUCAGAGUUCGUGGGUUCGAGCCCCACGUUGGGCU